rnacentral:rRNA from 1 species
UACGGGGGGAGCAAGCGUUGUUCGGAUUUACUGGGCGUUAAAGGGCGCGUAGGCGGUCAGCACAAGUCAGUUGUGAAAUCUCCGGGCUUAACUCGGAAAGGUCAACUGAUACUGUGCGGACUAGAGUGCGGAAGGGGGCAACUGGAAUUCUCGGUGUAGCGGUGAAAUGCGUAGAUAUCGAGAGGAACAUCUGCGGCGAAGGCGGGUUGCGUGGGCCGACACUGCGCUGAUGCG